CACGGGGGGUGCAAGCGUUACUCGGAAUCAUUGGGCGUAAAGGGCGCGUAGGCGGCCUGGUUAGUCAGAUGUGAAAGCCCGGGGCUCAACCCCGGAAGUGCAUUUGAUACUGCCAGGCUUGAGUAUGGGAGAGGAAAGUGGAAUUCCUGGUGUAGAGGUGAAAUUCGUAGAUAUCAGGAGGAACACCGGUGGCGAAGGCGACUUUCUGGACCAAUACUGACGCUGAGGCGCGAAGGCGUGGGGAGCAAACAGG
rnacentral:rRNA from 1 species